CCUACGGGUGGCAGCAGUGAGGAAUAUUGGUCAAUGGACGAGACUCUGAACCAGCCAAGUAGCGUGAAGGAUGACUGCCCUAUGGGUUGUAAACUUCUUUUAUGAAGGGAUAAAACGAGGCACGUGUGCCUUUUUGCAUGUACUUUAUGAAUAAGGAUCGGCUAACUCCGUGCCAGCAGCCGCGGUAAUACGGAGGAUCCGAGCGUUAUCCGGAUUUAUUGGGUUUAAAGGGAGCGUAGGUGGGUUGUUAAGUCAGUUGUGAAAUUUUGCGGCUCAACCGUAGAAUUGCAAUUGAUACUGGCAGUCUUGAGUACAGCUGAGGUAGGCGGAAUUCGUGGUGUAGCGGUGAAAUGCUUAGAUAUCACGAAGAACCCCGAUUGCGAAGGCAGCUUACUAAACUGUGACUGACAUUGAGGCUCGAAAGUGUGGGUAUCAAACAGGAUUAGAUACCCUUGUAGUC
rnacentral:rRNA from 1 species